CCUAGUUAGCUAUCAAUCUGAUGAUAACGGAAACUUAAUACAAAUCAAACUACAAUUGAAGAUGAUUGAUGUCAUUGAAAAUUCGGCUUGUGUCCACACAUGUGUGUUGUUUCGUAAUCAUAAACGGAAGAACUACGCUUUAUAAACUAUGUGCUUGCGAAACAUCGUGAUCGGCGGCGGCAGUAGUGGCGGUGGCUGCUGCCCCCCUUGCUGCCCUUCCUGCUGCCCCUCCUUCCCCAACCCUUUCUCCUGUUGCUGCAAAUGCUUGCUCCAGUGCCUCAUCAGGCUGGUCUUCUGCGCAAUAUUCAUAGUCUUAUCAGUUGCUGGCGUGCUCUACUUCAUUGAGAAAAUUAAAAAAAGUUGAUUAGUUACGCUCGGGUCAUUAACUGUGUCUUUUCCGAAUUUUAUAAAACCAACCCAGAUAGGUUAAACCAUGAAAGCAGACAUACAGACAUUUGCAUUCAUAAUAAUAUUACUGGAUAAUGGAUAUGGAUGACAAUAUUUCGCUUUGAUUUCUUGUCUGGAUAUCAAUGACCACUUGACUUUCGUUCAAUAGAGAAAAGUAGCCGAUAAUUCUAUGAAAGUAGCAGUCCGUACGUACAUCCCUUACAAGAAUGAUGACCUUGCUACAAUUCCCGUAAGAAACUUCUACUUAAUAUAAAAUACAACUGAAUCUCUAAAACUUAAAACAAGGAGGGAGAAAUAGACGUCUCCACCAUAUAUGAUCAUAGAUCAUAGACUGUCGAAUUAUUUGAAAUCUAUGGCCUCGGUGGGUAGAUCAACAAAAAGAACAAAACCAGCAAUCAGCACUCCAAAAUGACAUAUAUCUUUGAGUGACAAAGAGUGACAUUCAAAAAAUCUUAUGUACCUACGGCAGGAGCACAAAAUCUAUGAGUUUUUUUUUCAACACCUGUUUUAUGUUGGUCAAAAAUGAAUUGAAAAUUUAAAUCAUGUAAUAUGUUGAACGAUAUUCAACAAUAUACUUUGUUAUGUGCUAUGGAAACCUCUUUAUCAGCUCCGACGCAAUUUCAGCAGUAUCAGGAAUCUUUAUUUGGAUUAUAAUAUGUAUCGUUGUUAUUGUUCUGACGAUGUUCCUAAUUGUGGCAGAUAUUUUCUGAAAAUAACUGGAUUCGAAGAAUUUCAAAGAAACUCACUGAAGCAAAGUGAAAGUUCGAACGAAUCAUGUGAUUUUUGUGAUGUUGACUUAGAACGUAAAGUUUUUCGUGGUUUUGAUAGUUAUUGUCUUGUGAAGUACCACGUGUGUACUGAGGUGUCAAUAAAUCAAUUUUUGCAACAGA